rnacentral:rRNA from 1 species
UUAGAGUUUGAUCAUGGCUCAGGAUGAACGCUAGCGGCAGGCCUAAUACAUGCAAGUCGAACGGGCGAUAGCAAUAUCGCUAGUGGCGCACGGGUKCGUAACGCGUAACCAACCUACCCGAAACUGGGGGAUAKCCYGCCGMAAGGCGSAUUAAUACCKCAUAAACCAACAGAGUGGCMUCACUUCAUUGGUAAAGAUUUAUUGGUUUSKGAKGGGGUUGYGUAGCAUUAGCUAGAUGGCGGGGUAACGGCCCACCAUGGCGACGAUGCUUAGGGGACCUGAGAGGGUGAUCCCCCACACUGGCAYUGAGAUACGGGCCAGACUCCUACGGGAGGCAGCAGUAGGGAAUAUUGGGCAAUGGGCGAGAGCCUGACCCAGCCAUGCCGCGUKCSGGAKGAAGGCCUUCUGGGUUGUAAASGGCUUUUCUCAGGGAAGAAAAAGGUCUUGCGAGACAAACUGACGGUACCUGAGGAAUAAGCACCGGCUAACUCCGUGCCAGCAGCCGCG